rnacentral:rRNA from 1 species
UACAGAGGUGGCAAGCGUUGUUCGGAAUUACUGGGCGUAAAGGGCGCGUAGGCGGCCUGUUAAGUCGAACGUGAAAUCCCCGGGCUCAACCCGGGAACUGCGUCCGAUACUGGCAGGCUUGAAUUCGGGAGAGGGAUGUGGAAUUUACGGUGUAGCAGUGAAAUGCGUAGAUAUCGUAAGGAAGACCAGUGGCGAAGGCGAAUCUCUGGACAGUUACUGACACUGAGGCACGAAGGCCAGGGGAGCAAACGGG